rnacentral:rRNA from 1 species
UACGAAGGGGGCUAGCGUUGCUCGGAUUUACUGGGCGUAAAGGGCGCGUAGGCGGACAGUUUAGUCAGAGGUGAAAGCCUAGGGCUCAACCUUGGAAUUGCCUUUGAUACUGGCUGUCUUGAGUACAGGAGAGGUGAGUGGAACUCCGAGUGUAGAGGUGAAAUUCGUAGAUAUUCGGAAGAACACCAGUGGCGAAGGCGACUCACUGGCCCGUUACUGACGCUGAGGCGCGAAAGCGUGGGGAGCAAACAGG